rnacentral:rRNA from 1 species
UACGUAGGGUGCGAGCGUUAAUCGGAAUUACUGGGCGUAAAGCGUGCGCAGGCGGCGCGUUAAGACAGGUGUGAAAGCCCCGAGCUUAACUUGGGAAUUGCGCUUGUGACUGGCGUGCUGGAGUGUGGCAGAGGGAGGUGGAAUUCCACGUGUAGCAGUGAAAUGCGUAGAGAUGUGGAGGAACACCGAUGGCGAAGGCAGCCUCCUGGGCCAGCACUGACGCUCAUGCACGAAAGCGUGGGGGGCAAACAGG